rnacentral:rRNA from 1 species
UACGUAGGCAGCGAGCGUUGUUCGGAGUUACUGGGCGUAAAGAGUGCGUAGGCGGUGCUCCAAGUCUGGUGUGAAAUCUCCCGGCUUAACCGGGAGGGUGCGCCGGAAACUGGGGUGCUGGAGUGUGGGAGAGGUAAGCGGAGUUCCCGGUGUAGCGGUGAAAUGCGUAGAUAUCGGGAGGAACACCUGCGGUGUAGACGGCUUACUGGACCGAUAACUGACGCUGAGGCACGAAAGCGUGGGUAGCAAACAGG